rnacentral:misc_RNA from 1 species
ACCACCGAAAGGACCUUUUCAAUGGCGCCCGGUCUCGCUAACAAUUCAUGUAACUCGAAAACUGAGUUAACAGCGAUACACUCGAUCUCACUGGGUCUAAGCUCCAGCAUAGAAGCGUCGAGAUCAGCUAGACUAUUAGCUACAAAUCCCCGAUACUCAAACUCAACAUGGAUAGUCUCUGCCAACUGAGCCAAUUUCAAGCCCACUUCUUGAAGAUGGUCGGAGUUAUCAUGAGACGGUGGUCCAAUCCCGGUUAAACGAAACGCCGGCGGACCACCAGGUCUAAGCGCGAGAGCUUGCAACAGCGCAGGCCACUGCAUCCCUUGGUUCAUGGAGAAGUCGAUAACGUGCACUCGUUUUUUCCC